rnacentral:rRNA from 1 species
GAUGAACGCUGGCGGCGUGCCUAAUACAUGCCAGUCGAGCGGACAGACGAGGAGCUUGCUCCUCUGACGUUAGCGGCAGACGGGAGUGUAACACGUGUAUAAUCUACCUAUAAGACUGGGAUCACUUCGGGAAACCGGAGCUAAUACCGUAUAAUAUAUUGAACCGCAUGGUUCAAUGGUAAAAGACGGCUUUUCGGUCUCGUAUAGCUGCAUCUGCGCCGCAUUAGGUAGUAGGUGAGGUAACAGCUUACCAAGGCAACGAGGCGUUGCCGACGGGAGAGGGUGAUCGCCCACACGGGAGCGGAGCCACGGUCCAGACGCCUGCGGGAGGGAGCAGUAGGGAAUCUGCCGCAAUGGGCGAAAGUUUGACGGAGCAGCGCCACGUGAGUGAUGGAGGUGUUCGGAUCGUAAAACUCGGUUAUUGGGGAAGAACAAAUUUGUAAGUAACUAUGGACGGCUUGACGGUAACGAGUCAGAAAGCCACGGCUAACUACGUG